rnacentral:rRNA from 1 species
UAAUACGUAGGUGGCAAGCGUUAUCCGGAAUUAUUGGGCGUAAAGCGCGCGCAGGCGGUCUCUUAAGUCUGAUGUGAAAGCCCACGGCUCAACCGUGGAGGGUCAUUGGAAACUGGGAGACUUGAGUGCAGGAGAGAAAAGUGGAAUUCCACGUGUAGCGGUGAAAUGCGUAGAGAUGUGGAGGAACACCAGUGGCGAAGGCGGCUUUUUGGCCUGUAACUGACGCUGAGGCGCGAAAGCGUGGGGAGCAAACAGGAUUAGAUACCCUGGUAGUCCACGCCGUAAACGAUGAGUGCUAGGUGUUGGGGGGUUCCACCCUCAGUGCUGAAGUUAACACAUUAAGCACUCCGCCUGGGGAGUACGACCGCAAGGUUG